rnacentral:rRNA from 1 species
GUGCCAGCCGCCGCGGUAAUACGUAGGGCGCAAGCGUUGUCCGGAAUUAUUGGGCGUAAAGAGCUCGUAGGCGGCCUGUUGCGUCCGCUGUGAAAUCCCGGGGCUCAACCCCGGGCCUGCAGUGGAUACGGGCUGGCUAGAGGCAGGCAGGGGAGAACGGAAUUCCUGGUGUAGCGGUGAAAUGCGCAGAUAUCAGGAGGAACACCGGUGGCGAAGGCGGUUCUCUGGGCCUGUUCUGACGCUGAGGAGCGAAAGCGUGGGUAGCAAACAGGAUUAGAUACCCUUGUAGUCC